CCUACGGGAGGCAGCAGUGAGGAAUAUUGGGCAAUGGCCGAGAGGCUGAACCAGCCAAGACGCGUGAGGGAAGAAUGUCCUAUGGAUUGUAAACGUCUUUUGUCAGGGCGCAAAGUCACCCACGUGUGGGUGUUGGAGAGUACCUGAAGAAAAAGCAUCGGCUAACUCCGUGCCAGCAGCCGCGGUAAUACGGAGGAUGCGAGCGUUAGCCGGAUUUAUUGGGUUUAAAGGGUGCGUAGGCGGGUUAUCAAGUCAGCGGUAAAAUCGUGGAGCUCAACUCCAUCCAGCCGUUGAUACUGAUGAUCUUGAGUGGGCGAGAAGUAUGCGGAAUGCGUGGUGUAGCGGUGAAAUGCAUAGAUAUCACGAAGAACUCCGAUUGCGAAGGCAGCAUACCGGCGCCCGACUGACGCUGAGGCACGAAAGCGUGGGUAGCGAACAGGAUUAGAUACCCCUGUAGUC
rnacentral:rRNA from 1 species